GUUUUUCCCAUUACUAGUUACAAAUAUUGAUUUACCUUUAAAUCUAAAAGUGUUAAAUGGUGUAAUCUUUGCUGCGAUUUUUCGUUGUAGUGUUCUUGAUCUCAUUGGCCGUUUUGGCACUACACAGAUUGCCGCGCUUCAUGCAAGUGCAUACACGUCAAAAUGCUACAGUCUCGUGUGAUCUCGCGAGAUUACGCCUCCAGGUCGUGGAAAGUUCCAGACAAUACAGCUCGGAAGUCUGUAUUGAAGUCUGUAUUUAACUGUUAUGGGCCUUCUUCCAUUUUGCAUCCAAUCCGCUUGACAAUGGCACCCACAGUUACCCAGGAGACAGGCCUUUAUGUGAGGGGCAUGUGCUGAAAAAAGAUGUUUUCUACCUCUCUCUUGUCCAGUUUUCCACGCGUUCUGCCUUUUUUUCUGGAAAAUGGGGGUAAAUUGAGCUUGGAGAUGAUUCCUGAACCAGUGGUUGCUCUGUGCUCUCCAUUUUUGCUUCAGGAACAGCAUUGGAGUUGUGGUGACAACAGUGGAAUAUCUAUCCUGAAAGCGCUGCUUGAUACUAGUUCUGAUACAAAGUUGCGUUUGACCAUUAUAUAAAAAAAAAUGUCUGGCCACCUAACCAUUUAAUCUUACCUGUCAAUGUAUGUGAUGCUCCUGAAUUACAUUCACAGCACAGAAUGUCUAAACGUUUUCUUCCUUCUUCAGCCAGAUGUUUUUAAAUGGUGUAAAAGGUACUAUGCAGUUUGGUUCUAAAUAUUGCUGGACUGGCUGAAAAAGUGCUAUGGAUAAUAUUUCAACAGGGAGCUCUCCUUACGUGCAGCCUUCAGCAAUGAUGGAUAAUGCUUGCAUCAGGUUACUCUGGCCUCUCAUUUAACCAAGCCUCAACAUUAUAAUUACCAACCAUGCAUUCCACCUGGAAAAAAUCUUCCAGCAUGGAUUGGUCAUUCCAGAGAUAACCUGUCCUUUGCUAAUCG
ensembl:lncRNA